rnacentral:lncRNA from 1 species
AAGGAUAAAGAGACUGCAGCAUUCUCCCCAGCAGAGUUACAGUUCUGGGGUGUAGGACAACUUGUAUAAACACCCAGCUUGCAUUGGCUGCACUUCUCGCUCGUCCAGGAGAGAAGAACUGAAGGAGGUGGGUGGACUAACACAGAGCUCACUGCUGAACUACUGAACUUGGGUGGAUCAGAAACAGAAUUGAAGCUAUUUUAUCUGGACCUAAUUAAACAACCUUCAUUACUGGCAGGUAUGUGUUUGUGAUGACUAGAAAUUAGCUUGAUUGGAAUUAAACCUCAAAAUAUAAGGCAUUGAA